UGGGGAAUAUUGGACAAUGGGCGAAAGCCUGAUCCAGCCAUGCCGCGUGUGUGAAGAAGGCCUUUUGGUUGUAAAGCACUUUAAGUGGGGAGGAAAAGCUUAUGGUUAAUACCCAUAAGCCCUGACGUUACCCACAGAAUAAGCACCGGCUAACUCUGUGCCAGCAGCCGCGGUAAUACAGAGGGUGCAAGCGUUAAUCGGAAUUACUGGGCGUAAAGCGCGCGUAGGUGGUUAUUUAAGUCAGAUGUGAAAGCCCCGGGCUUAACCUGGGAACUGCAUCUGAUACUGGAUAACUAGAGUAGGUGAGAGGGGAGUAGAAUUCCAGGUGUGGCGGUGAAAUGCGUAGAGAUCUGGAGGAAUACCGAUGGCGAAGGCAGCUCCCUGGCAUCAUACUGACACUGAGGUGCGAAAGCGUGGGUAGCAAACAGGAUUAGAUACCCUGGUAGUCCACGCCGUGAACGAUGUCUACCAGUCGUUGGGUCUUUUAAAGACUUAGUGACGCAGUUAACGCAAUAAGUAGACCGCCUGGGGAGUACGGCCGCAAGGUUA
rnacentral:rRNA from 1 species